rnacentral:pre_miRNA from 1 species
UUGUAGAGCAAUCUGUCUAAGUAGGGGUAAAUUACUCUUAAAAAAAAAAUCCUAGGUAGUUCUCCCUUCUAGUAAAGCGUCUUGU